rnacentral:rRNA from 1 species
GAACGGGUGAGUAAUGCUUUGGAAUCUUCCCAGUAGUGGGGAACAACCAGUCGAAAGAUUGGCUAAUACCGCAUACGUCUGUGAAGAGAAAGCGGGGGAUCGUAAGACCUCGCGCUAUUGGAUGAGCCAAAGUCGGAUUAGCUAGUUGGUGAGGUAAUGGCUCGCCAAGGCGACAAUCCGUAGCUGGUCUGAGAGGACGACCAGCCACACCGGAACUGAGACACGGUCCGGACUCCUACGGGAGGCAGCAGUGGGGAAUAUUGGACAAUGGGGGAAACCCUGAUCCAGCGACGCCGCGUGUGUGAAGAAGGCCUGCGGGUUGUAAAGCACUUUUAGUGGGGACAAAAAGUCACGGGCGAAUACCCUGUGAUCUUGAUUUAACUCACAGAAAAAGCACCGGCUAACUCUGUGCCAGCAGCCGCGGUAAUACAGAGGGUGCGAGCGUUAAUCGGAAUUACUGGGCGUAAAGCGCGCGUAACGGUUUGGUAAGUCAGAUGUGAAAUCCCCGGGCUCAACCUGGGAACCUGCAUUUGAUACUGCCUGGCUAGAGUAUCGAAAGAGGGGAAGUGGAAUUUCCCGGGUGUACGGUGAAAAUGGCGUAAUUUCGGAAAGGGAACACC